rnacentral:rRNA from 1 species
UACAGAGGGUGCAAGCGUUAAUCGGAAUUACUGGGCGUAAAGCGUGCGUAGCCGGUUACAUAAGUCGGGUGUGAAAGCCCCGGGCUCAACCUGGGAAUUGCAUUCGAGACUGCGUAGCUAGGGUGCGGAAGAGGGAAGCGGAAUUUCCGGUGUAGCGGUGAAAUGCGUAGAGAUCGGGAGGAACACCAGUGGCGAAGGCGGCCAUCUGGAUCAACACUGACGCUGAGGCACGAAAGCGUGGGGAGCAAACAGG